rnacentral:rRNA from 1 species
AACGAGCGCAACCUCGACCUUAGUUGCCAGCAUUCAGUUGGGCGACUCUAAGGUGACUGCCGGCUAAAAGUCGGAGGAAGGUGGGGAUGACGUCAAAUCAUCAUGCCCUUAUGACCUGGGCUACACACGUGCUACAAUGGGCGGUACAAAGGGUCGCGAACCCGCAGGGGGAGCCAAUCCCAAAAAGCCGCUCUCAGUUCGGAUUGCAGGCUGCAACUCGCCUGCAUGAAGCCGGAAUCGCUAGUAAUCGCGGAUCAGCAUGCCGCGGUGAAUACGUUCCCGGGCCUU